GAGGUGACCCGAGGUGACAGCAGUGCCAUCCCUGCCCAGGUGUCGUCGGCGCCUUCACCUUCCCCGUGCUGCAGCGGCGCCACCAGGCGCAGAUCCAGCAGUGCCUGAGCCUGGCCAGGAGCCACCUGAGCCACCUGCGAGCCAGGGUCCUGGCCGCGCUGCCAAGUGCCAAAGCCACCCCGCAGUGACAGCGCUGUCCCCUCCCCUCCCCCCCCGAGGUGACACCGGGGGAGGGGGCGUGGCCUGGAGGGGGGGGAGGGGACACCGCGCCCCUCCCCCCGCGGCCUCCCCUUUGUCCCCUCCCCCCCCCAGCGCGGGGAGCGGGGCCGCGGUUUAAUAAAGACACUUGUGACACAAAGCC